UACGUAGGGUGCGAGCGUUGUCCGGAAUUAUUGGGCGUAAAGGGCUCGUAGGCGGUUUGUCGCGUCGGGAGUGAAAUCCACUGGCUUAACUGGUGGCUUGCUUUCGAUACGGGCAGACUGGAGGUAUGCAGGGGAGAACGGAAUUCCUGGUGUAGCGGUGAAAUGCGCAGAUAGUCAGGAAGAACACCCGUGGCUAAGGCGGCUCUCUAGUACGGUACUGACGCUGAGACGCGAAAGCGUGGGGAGCGAACAGG
rnacentral:rRNA from 1 species